CUCCUACUCCCACCUUCGCUCCAUCUCCCAACUCCGUUAAACCAAACGCAACAUCAGUCCCAUCCUUACCUUCACCAACUCCCCCCAAACCUAUCAAACCAGCUGCAGCAAUUGCUCCAUCUUUAACUGCCCCUUCUCCGCUGAAACCUGUCAAACCAAAACCAACAUCUGUCACUGAGGCUGAUGAUAGUACACAAUGGACCUUUAAACUUGGAAGAAGAGGACUCACUGAGGAGGUAUGGAAUUCUAUGCUGCUCGGACAAUCUAAAAAUUUUGCCACACCCAUGUUGGAUCCUUCAAAAAUGCUCUACUUUUGAAGGAUUCGACACGUAACCAAUGACAUUUUUGAAGAGUCCGAGCAACAUAGGAGUUAUGUUCCCUAAUAUAUACUAACACACUUAACUGCUAGUCUUUCUGUUUACAUUUAAUACGAGCGAUAGCUACAUAUAUAACAUGUCGAAAGUAUCUUUAGAAUCUUGUAGUAUUAAACAUAUCGUGUCAUUUCUACAAGAGCGCGACAUGAAGUAGAGUUCCUAACUUAACGAAAUGUAUCAUUUUUUUUUUGGAACAGACGAAAAAGGAAAAGAGAGCGAUAAAAUGGAACGGAGUGAGUAACGCACAUGCUCCACAUCCCACAUAGACAAGUGAAAAUGACAAAAGACUAAUACUAAGGUGAUCAUUUUUCGUGUUUUUGGUUUGAUGUUAGGGAGCACAAAGGAUAGUGAAAGAUCCAGCACCAUAUGGACCUGGUCCAUGGGGUGGAGAAGGUGGAAAGCCAUGGGAUGAUGGAGUUUUCACUGGGAUCAAGCAAGUCAUCUUAACACAAUCAUCAGAGGCCAUUUGUUGUAUCGAAAUUGAGUACGAUCGGAAUGGACAAUCUGUUUGGUCAGUAAAACAUGGUGCAAAUGCUGGGAAAUUGACAAAUAGGGUACACAAACACUUCCUUCUCUGUAUUUAACUUGAGUUGAUCGUCAAAAGAACACCUAAAGUAUCUCAUUUUUCUGAGUUUCAUACGUGAACUAUCAGUUGUGCGAGCGCUUAUCAAACCACACCUCAACUAUUAGGUUUGCGAGUUUCCUACCUGAAGCAUCACCAUCGUUCAGGUAGAAAAAGUGAACAACUGAUAGUUGAGGUGUGUUUUGAUAAAUAUGUAGUGAUAGCUCAGGUAGAAAACUCGUACACCUGAUAGUUCAGAUAUGAAACUAGAAAAAAAUGGAUACUUUAGGUGUGUUUUUGACCUAUCACUCAUUUAAUUGCGAAUGAUAGUUGGAAAAACCUGAUAGUUUAGAUAUGAAACUAGAAAAAAAUGCAUACUUUAGGUGUGUUUUCGACCAAUCACUCAUUUAAUUGCGCAUGACAGUUGGAAAAACCUGAUAGUUUAGAUAUGAAACUAGAAAAAAAUGGAUACUUUAGGUGUGCUUUCGACCCUUCACUCAUUUAGUUGCGAAUGACAGCUGUAAAAAAAUAAAAGAAUUGCCCUUAUAACAAAGUGUUUUAUACGUGAACUAUCAGAUGUGCAAGUUUCCUACCUGAACUAUCACCAUCGUUCAGGUAGGAAAAGUGAACAACUGAUAGUUGAGGCAUGUUUUGAUAAAUAUUUAGUGAUAGUCAAGUAAGAAACUCACACACCCGGUAGUUCAGGUGUGUUUUUGACUCUUCACUCAUUUAAUUGUGAAUGACAGUUGGUAAAAACAAAAGAAUUGCCCUUAUAACAAAGUGUUUCGUACGUGAACUAUCAGGUGUGCGACAUUUAUUUAUCAAACUACACCACAAGUCCACAACUAUCAGGUCUGUGAGUUGCCUACCUGAAACAUCACCAUCGUUCAGGUAGGAAAAGUGAACAACUGAUAAUUGAGGUGUGUUUUGAUAAAUAGUUAGUGAUAGUUUCACA
rnacentral:lncRNA from 1 species